AGUGAACGCUGGCGGUAGGCCUAACACAUGCAAGUCGAACGGCAGCACAGUAAGAGCUUGCUCUUACGGGUGGCGAGUGGCGGACGGGUGAGGAAUACAUCGGAAUCUACUUUUUCGUGGGGGAUAACGUAGGGAAACUUACGCUAAUACCGCAUACGACCUACGGGUGAAAGCAGGGGAUCUUCGGACCUUGCGCGAUUGAAUGAGCCGAUGUCGGAUUAGCUAGUUGGCGGGGUAAAGGCCCACCAAGGCGACGAUCCGUAGCUGGUCUGAGAGGAUGAUCAGCCACACUGGAACUGAGACACGGUCCAGACUCCUACGAGAGGCAGCAGUGGGGAAUAUUGGACAGUGGGCGCAAGCCUGAUCCAGCCAUACCGCGUGGGUGAAGAAGGCCUUCGGGUUGUAAAGCCCUUUUGUUGGGAAAGAAAAGCAGCAGGUUAAUACCCCGCUGUUCUGACGGUACCCAAAGAAUAAGCACCGGCUAACUUCGUG
rnacentral:rRNA from 1 species